CAAAUACCGGUUCUUGUAUGAACACUGAAGUUAAGCAAUGCCGAACCUGGUCAGUCUUUAGAUGGGUGACCGCUUGGGAAUACCAGGUGCUGUAA